rnacentral:rRNA from 1 species
AACGAACGCUGGCGGCAGGCUUAACACAUGCAAGUCGAACGCCCCGCAAGGGGAGUGGCAGACGGGUGAGUAACGCGUGGGAACAUACCCUUUCCUGCGGAAUAGCUCCGGGAAACUGGAAUUAAUACCGCAUACGCCCUACGGGGGAAAGAUUUAUCGGGGAAGGAUUGGCCCGCGUUGGAUUAGCUAGUUGGUGGGGUAAAGGCCUACCAAGGCGACGAUCCAUAGCUGGUCUGAGAGGAUGAUCAGCCACAUUGGGACUGAGACACGGCCCCAACUCCUACGGGAGUCAGCAGUGGGGAAUAUUGGACAAUGGGCGCAAGCCUGGUCCAGCCAUGCCGCGUGAGUGAUGAAGGCCUUAGGGUUGUAAAGCUCUUUCACCGAUGAAGAUAAUGACGGUAGUCGGAGAAGAAGCCCCGGCUAACAUCGUGCCAGCCGCCGCCGUAAAAC